rnacentral:rRNA from 1 species
GUCUUGUACACACCGCCCGUCACACCACGAGAGUUUGUAACACCCGAAGCCGGUGGAGUAACCUUUUAGGAGCUAGCCGUCGAAGGUGGGACAAAUGAUUGGGGUGAAGUCGUAACAAGGUAGCCGUAUCGGAAGGUGCGGCUGGAUCACCUCCUUU